rnacentral:rRNA from 1 species
AGUGAACGCUGGCGGUAGGCCUAACACAUGCAAGUCGAACGGCAGCACAGUAAGAGCUUGCUCUUACGGGUGGCGAGUGGCGGACGGGUGAGGAAUACAUCGGAAUCUACUUUUUCGUGGGGGAUAACGUAGGGAAACUUACGCUAAUACCGCAUACGACCUACGGGUGAAAGCAGGGGAUCUUCGGACCUUGCGCGAUUGAAUGAGCCGAUGUCGGAUUAGCUAGUUGGCGGGGUAAAGGCCCACCAAGUCGACGAUCCGUAGCUGGUCUGAGAGGAUGAUCAGCCACACGGGAACGGAGACACGGUCCAGACUCCUACGGGAGGCAGCAGUGGGGAAUAUUGGACAAUGGGCGCAAGCCUGAUCCAGCCAUACCGCGUGGGUGAAGAAGGCCUUCGGGUUGUAAAGCCCUUUUGUUGGGAAAGAAAAGCAGCAGGUUAAUACCCCGCUGUUCUGACGGUACCCAAAGAAUAAGCACCGGCUAACUUCGUG